GGUUCCAUGGUGUAAUGGUUAGCACUAGCACUCUGGACUCUGAAUCCAGCGAUCCGAGUUCAAAUCUCGGUGGAAUCU